UACGUAGGUGGCAAGCGUUUGUCCGGAUUUACUGGGCGUAAAGAGCGCGCAGGCGGUCGUUCAAGUCGCGUGUGAAAGCCCCCGGCUCAACUGGGGAGGGUCACGCGAUACUGAUCGACUCGAAGGCAGGAGAGGGUAGUGGAAUUCCUGGUGUAGCGGUGAAAUGCGCAGAUAUCAGGAGGAACACCGAUGGCGAAGGCAGGUCUCUGGGCUGUAACUGACGUGGAGGAGCGAAAAGCAUGGGGGAGC
rnacentral:rRNA from 1 species